CAAAUCAGGUGUCACGUGCCUUCAAUUUGACCUUUGGAAAAGCUUUGAUUCCAUCAUGUAAUAGGGUAGCUAACAGCAUUUUUUUCGGCUCAAAGAACUAGCAGUGCAGUUAAAUGGAUCCAAAUGAACCAAGCCUGAAUUAUGUGCUAAUCCCUGUAUGAGGUGUUGAUGAUGUGAAGAUGAGUAAGGUAGUGUAAGCUCAUUAUGAAAAAUAAAGAUGCUCAAUGUAUAGCAGCAAGUUAAAGAAUCAUGACCUGGAACUGAGCAGAGUUAUGACCGGUUAGCACAAAUCCUCCAGGAAUGAACAUCAUGGAUGAACAUCAUGGAGUCACUUAUCGAAGACCUCUGGAUUCAUGUUGCAGCCAUCAGCAGACAACUUACCAUGCCUCAAAGAAAAUACCUUCAUUGUCCCUGUGUAAUCGUCUACAGUGUACCAGAGGAGCUGCCCACAGUGUGCUAAGCUUUGUGAUUGUUCUGGAGGACGAAUAAGACACGGCCAGCCUGCAAAGACCUCAGAAUCCGGGAUAUCUAGAAAACCUAGGAAAUGAAUUAACAGCUUGUCUGACAAAGCUCGAGUAUUCGGAGGACAAGAUGGGGCAUGUGACAUAAUGUGGGAGUGUUGAGGAAGGUUUCCUGGGAGAGGUGAUGCCUGACUGAAUUGGGUUUCGAAGGAUGUCUGAACAUUAGCCAGAUGAAGCGUGUUGGCAGAGAAGGGUAAAGGACAUCAUGGGCACAGUCAAGAACACCGCACUGAGGGGCAGAACAGUGAGUAGGAGACAAAAUGUGUGUCUGUGUUGGUUGCAGGAAAUGUAUGAGGUGGGAGAGGU
rnacentral:lncRNA from 1 species